rnacentral:rRNA from 198 species
UAAGGUCACGGCGAGACGAGCCGUUUAUCAUUACGAUAGGUGUCAAGCGGAAGUGCAGUGAUGUAUGCAGCUGAGGCAUCCUAACAGACCGAGAGAUUUGAAC